UACAGAGGGUGCGAGCGUUGUUCGGAAUUACUGGGCGUAAAGCGCGCGUAGGCGGACCUGCAAGUCGGGGGUGAAAGCCCGAGGCUCAACCUCGGAACUGCCUUCGAUACUGCGGGUCUCGAGUCCGGGAGAGGUGAGUGGAAUUCCUAGUGUAGCGGUGAAAUGCGCAGAUAUCAGGAGGAACACCGAUGGCGAAGGCAGGUCUCUGGGCCACUACUGACGCUGAGAAGCGAAAGCAUGGGGAGCGAACAGG
rnacentral:rRNA from 1 species